GAUGGCCUGCCUAAGUUCUUUCCAACAGAAUAUCUUUGGUACAACCCUGGGAGUCUUGCACUGCAAGAAACCUUUAGUUGCAUUUCAAAGCUUACUGGGACUGUGUUGUUUUGGUGUUCUAGCGGGUCGAAUUCAAGUAUGAGGUCGAAAAGAUAUGAACUUUGUGGAGAACACGAUUACGUUUGUAGUAGUACUAAGAUUGAUGUCCCGAGGUUUUUUGUUAGUUAUAGACGAAAAGCACUUGAGAUUCCGGAGUUUUUUAACAAGUUUUCGAGGUUUGCGAUUAAACAGUUGCUGGGGAAGGCGAAAGAUCUUGAGUUCGUUCCCGCGGUAGCGUUAGCUGGUAGUUUAGUACACCACCACUUGACAAUAUUUCUAGGAAUUUUCUUGCUGUUUCAAACGAAAACGACAAUGCAAUUAUUCAGAGAUCCAUGAAUCAUAAUCCUUGUGAGGUGGAGCAACGACGAUGCAGUGAAUUUUAUCGUAAAAAUUCUAACUUUUCAGCACCAACGGUUGAACCAAGAACCGGUAUUGAGUUCCCAACUAUAUCGGAUAACAUUUUUGGAGAAAGUAAUUCCAGUUUAAAUACAGAGGUUCUCGUUGCAACUGGAUCGAAAUCAAUCAAUACGUGUCUCUUCCAAAGAAUGAAGUGGACAAGCAUCAAAACAUUUUUGCUGAUCUUCUUCGGGAGGACAUAAGCAUGAGUGUAAGGCUCGUGGUCAGCUACAACGGAAUUAAAAUCAGUACAGUUAGAGAUGCUUUUGAGAAAUCACUUCGAGCCCGAUUGAUUAGUGCUUAACAUAUAUUCAUGUCUGUUAAUUAGAGCUGUCAAUUGUCAACAUUGGCUGGUCAAGUCGGGCAGAAUUUUUUAUCGGUCGGGUUAGGUUUGAUCCGAAACACUUUUUGUCCAGAAUCUUUAUAAAUAGACCCGUUCAUAAGUAAAUGACCUGUU